rnacentral:rRNA from 1 species
UACGUAGGCAGCAAGCGUUGUUCGGAGUUACUGGGCGUAAAGGGCGUGUAGGCGGGAAGUAAAGUCAGAUGUGAAAUCCCUGGGCUCAACCCAGGAACUGCAUUUGAAACUCACUUUCUUGAGUACCGGAGAGGAAGGUGGAAUUCCUGGUGUAGCGGUGAAAUGCGCAGAUAUCAGGAAGAACACCCGUGGCGAAGGCGGCUCUCUGGGACGGUACUGACGCUGAGACGCGAAAGCGUGGGGAGCGAACAGG